rnacentral:rRNA from 1 species
UUUUCAGUGUCGCAGCAAAAGCAUUAAGCACACCGCCUGGGGAGUACGACCGCAAGGUUAAAACUCAAAUGAAUUGACGGGGACCCGCACAAGUAGUGGAGCAUGUGGUUUAAUUCGAAGAUACGCGCAGAACCUUACCAACACUUGACAUGUUCGUCGCAACUUUAAGAGAUUAAAGUUUUCGGUUCGGCCGGACGAAACACAGGUGCUGCAUGGCUGUCGUCAGCUCGUGUCGUGAGAUGUUGGGUUAAGUCCCGCAACGAGCGCAACCCUCACUUUUAGUUGCCAUCAUUAAGUUGGGCACUCUGAAAGAACUGCCAGUGAUAAGCUGGAGGAAGGUGGGGAUGACGUCAAGUCCUCAUGGCCCUUACGUGUUGGGCUACACACGUGCUACAAUGGCACUUACAAUAGGAAGCAAGAAGGUGACUUUAAGCAAAUCCUAAAAAGGUGUCUCAGUUCGGAUUGUACUCUGCAACUCGAGUACAUGAAGCUGGAAUUACUAGUAAUCGCGGAUCAGCGCGCCGCGGUGAAUACGUUCCCGGGUCUUGUACACACCGCCCGUCACACCAUGGGAGUUGGUUCUACCUUAAGGCAAAGCAUAAAACCUUUGACUACGGUAUAGUCAGCGACUGGGGUGAAGUCGUAACAAGGUAGCCGUAGGGGAACCUGCGGCUGGAUUACCUCCUU